CUACGGGAUGCAGCAGUGAGGAAUAUUGGUCAAUGGGCGAAAGCCUGAACCAGCCAUGCCGCGUGAAGGAUGACGACCCUAUGGGUUGUAAACUUCUUUUAUAUGGGAAGAAACACCUCUACGUGUAGAGGUUUGACGGUACCGUACGAAUAAGCAUCGGCUAACUCCGUGCCAGCAGCCGCGGUAAUACGGAGGAUGCAAGCGUUAUCCGGAUUUAUUGGGUUUAAAGGGUACGUAGGCGGAAACUUAAGUCAGUAGUGAAAUCCCGCAGCUUAACUGUGGAACUGUUAUUGAUACUGGGUUUCUUGAAUAUUGUUGAGGUAGGCGGAAUAAGUAAUGUAGCGGUGAAAUGCUUAGAUAUUACUUAGAACACCGAUUGCGAAGGCAGCUUACUAAGCAAUUAUUGACGCUGAGGUACGAAAGCGUGGGGAGCGAACAGGAUUAGAUACCCCCGUAGUC
rnacentral:rRNA from 1 species